CAUCGCAUGCUCUGUUGCUUUCAUCUUCCCUCUUUUUUUCACUUGGGGUUAGUUGGCUCUGAUGAUAAUUGUGCCGCUCAUCUGUAUUUUGUAUAGUUGGCUUUGGCACCCUAUUCAUGUUUUUUUUUAACCGCGGGGAGUUUUGUAGAUCAAAUCCAUGGUGAUUUUUUGUUUCUUUCCUGUAGACUGGGUCUUGCCCAAACAGACC
rnacentral:lncRNA from 1 species